AUGGUAGGGCAAUAUUUGGCUAGAUGGAUGUACAAGAAAAAUAUUCCUUUCAAUGCUGUCAAUGAUGAUGACUUCAAGCAGUUUUGUGAAGCCCUUGGUCGGUUUGGUCCUAAAUGGAAGCCACCUUCCCAAUAUAUGCUCCGAGAGAAGAUGUUGCUGCAAGAGGUGGAAAGAACAAAGGAUUUGAUGAAGCCACAUGAGCUUGAGAGGGUGGAAACCGGGUGCUCUAUCAUGACCGAUGCUUGGACCGACAAGAAAAGAAGACGUAUAAUGAAUUUGUGUGUGCAUUGCAAGUUAGGGACCGCCUUUCUUGAAUCAAAGGAGGCGUCGACUGAUGCACACACAAUUCUAUACAUCUUCAAUUAUGUAGUUGAGUGCAUUGAGAAAAUUGGUGCUGAAAAUGUUGUGCAAGUGGUCAAGGACAAUGCUUCCAACAACAUGGGAGCAAAGGAGAUGCUCAAAGGAAAAUGGCCAAAAAUCUUUUGGAGCUCAUGUGCAACUCACACCCUCAAUUUGAUGGUAGAAGCAAUUGGGGAGCUGAAGCAAUUUGGCCCUACAAUCAUCAAAGCUAAGCAAAUGACGAUUUUUCUUUAUGCACAUCAUAAAACAUUGUCCUUGAUGAGGUCUUUCAUGAAAAAAAGAGACACUGUUACACCGGGGGUGACACGAUUUUCUUCGGCAUUUAUUACGUUGCAAAGUUUGGUUUCUAAAAAGAAAGAAGGGCAAUGGUUUGUAGUGAUGAAUGGGAAGCAUGCAAGCACACGAAAACGGUGA
rnacentral:rRNA from 1 species